GACGAACCGUGCGAAUGUUGUUCGGAAUCACUGGGCUUAAAGGGCGCGUAGGCGGGCUGUCAAGUCUGGGGUGAAAUGCCGCGGCUCAACCGUGGAACUGCCUUAGAUACUGACGGCCUCGAGGAAGGUAGGGGCAUGCGGAACUGUAGGUGGAGCGGUGAAAUGCGUAGAUAUUGGAAAGACCACCGAUGGCGAAGGCACUCUACUGGGCCAUUACUGACACUGAGAGACGAAAGCUAGGGGAGCAAAUGGG
rnacentral:rRNA from 1 species